AAGAUUUUAAGUUAUAAAAACUAUAAGCCUUCAAAGCUUGAAAAAAAAGUGAUACUUUUAAAUCUUA
rnacentral:tRNA from 1 species